UAAAACUUUUAUUAGUGUAUUCACAUAUUAGGCAAAUGCAACACGCAUGAAGCUUAUUUCUUAGGUUCACAAGUUCUACCAAUACAUUAGUCUACUGGUAAAACUAGCACAAACUGGUAACUGCUUUGCCAAUUUUUUAAAGGUGUCCGGCCCACUUUUUCAAGGCUUGAUUUUUGGUAUUGCUUCUAUGCCCUAGUCAUUAUGGCAUAAAAAUAUCCAUCACGAUCAUCAAUUCAGUCAACUGAUUAAAAGCUGUAACACUGGCCACAUUUUUGUUCUCAAAGCUAAGUUAUCACUAGCUGUACUUACAAAGUACAGUACUAGUGUAAUGGAUGAAACAAUGGGAAAAACAGACAAAGGCAAUCCUGCUACUGCCACAAUAACAGAAGAAUGACAGACAGCUAGAUCACAAGAUUGUUAGUAAGAUGUAUAUUUUUCAAGUCAGAAUAACCCUUCUAUACAGUUUCCCAACCCUUCCCCAACCCAGACUUAUUUGUAGAAUAUAUUUCAGAAUAUUUUUAAUAUGGUGCAGCUGUAGUGUCCAAGGGUUCACAAUAACAUGCACUGUCACGAAGAACCUAGAAGUCCUCCUUCGCUGGUCAUACCUCAGCAACCACUAUCCUAGAGGUUUUGCAGAAGCAACUACUUUUAAUAACAAGGCCCAUUAUGACAUAAUGAAUGCGUAUGAUCUGGUAUGUAAGUAAGCUAUACAAAGCCACUCAGAUCAGAAAUUUAAAUUCUGUUACUGAAAUAUGUUAAGAAGCUGCAUCUAUUUAAAACCUAUACGAAAGAGUCUAGUUUACCCUGGGAAAGGAUUUUUCAAGGUAUUUGGCUCCAAAAACUAAAAAACAUGAUUUUUAGCGACAUCUGUUUCAUGAAAAAAAUACAGAUGUGAGGGGUAAGCCAAUAACCUUGUGUACUGAAAGCCAGUAUCCAAUGCUACGGUAAAUUCUCAUUCCAUGAGAAAAAACACUGAUUUCAAUGAUUCAAGGUACAAAAAAAGUCCCAAAUUGCAUCUGUGCCAGCAAUACUGCUGGCAACAGAUGCAUCAGCUCAGAUGGGUAGGGAAAAGUAGACUCCUAGUGUGAUGGAUACUCGGAAUUUAUAAUAUGAAUUCAUUUUAGGCCCCAUUAAGCAUAUAAAGUGUCUUAAGAUUUCACAGAUGAAUCUCGAGACAUUUCUUUCCCUUCCAAUGGAGGGAUUUUCUUUUUCUUUAAGAAGGCAGCAAAAAGUUAAGCUUUUCUACAAGGAAAGUCUGCUUUUUAUGUUUAGGACAACUCGAAAACCUGCUUAUAUAAAAAAAUAUAAAAGAAUAAAGGAGUAGAGUCUUGGAAUUUUAUGAGAGAUUUGCCCCAAUCAAAAAAACAAACGACUAUUUAUGGGAACUAAAAUGUAGAACAGCACAAUACUGUGAUAUUUGAGAUCAUGAUACAUUACCUGUACAUAUACUUAGCUAUUCAUGUUAUUGAUAAACCAUUAGGACACUCAAUUAUAUACCCAAUAAAAACACCAUUAAGAGUCUUUAGAACUGUCCCUUCUUCUUUCUGAAGAAGGCAUUUCUAUACACUAAAUUUUCAUCUAGUAUCAGAGUAUAGGAAACAGAAUCCACAAGGUGCUUUAAUUGAUGAGACCUCAAGUGCUGUUUUUCUUUUUUUUUUUUUUAAAAA